rnacentral:rRNA from 1 species
UACGUAGGUGGCAAGCGUUGUCCGGAUUUACUGGGCGUAAAGGAUGCGUAGGUGGAUAUUUAAGUGGGAUGUGAAAUCCCCGGGCUCAACUUGGGUGCUGCAUUCCAAACUGGAUAUCUAGAGUGCAGGAGAGGUAAGUGGAAUUCCUAGUGUAGCGGUGAAAUGCGUAGAGAUUAGGAAGAACACCAGUGGCGAAGGCGACUUACUGGACUGUAACUGACACUGAGGCAUGAAAGCGUGGGGAGCAAACAGG